UAGAUGAAAGACCAGGAAAGAGGACUGUCACCUCACACGUGUGCAUUGCAAUCGUCCCCAGCUCAUACUGAUGCAAAAGCAAAACCACUCCCUGUCACCUUACAGGCCACGUAACCCAAUCACAUGGCAUGGAAUAGGAAUUCUCAUGAACUAAGCAAGUUGAGAGUUCAUAACUAAAAUUACAUUAAAGAAAAACAAAGUGGAGUAAACUGGCAUGGAUUCUUGUAAAACUCCAUGCUUCGUGUGGCUAAAAUAUGCACCAUUGGCAGCCACUAACAUGCAUCACAGAAGUCCCCACUUUGGACGGUAGCAGUCCAACAAAAUGACCUACAAAAAUCCUAAAUGACUACUGACUAUUUUGGAAGUGCUACUUUCAGGAGCUGCAUUUUCCACCAGGAAGACACAUUUAUAAAUAUAUUCUCUGAAUCCAUUGUCACCGCCCA